rnacentral:rRNA from 1 species
GAUGAACGCUGGCGGCGUGCCUAACACAUGCAAGUCGAGCGAAGCACCUUACUUGAUUUCUUCGGGAUGAAAGUAUUGUGACUGAGCGGCGACGGGUGAAGUACGCGUGGAUAACCUGCCUCAUACAGGGGGAUAGCAGUUAGAAAUGACUGCUAAUACCGCAUAAGACCACAGCACCGCAUGGUACGGUGUGAAAAACUCCGGUGGUAUGAGAUGGACCCGCGUCUGAUUAGCUAGUUGGUGGGGUAACGGCCUACCAAGGCGACGAUCAGUAGCCGACCUGAGAGGGUGACCGGCCACAUUGGGACUGAGACACGGCCCAA